UUGCUGCCUUUGAGUCCCAUCACGCCUGCGCGCGGCGCCUGGGGUCGAGCUAUGGUGCUAGAGCGCGUGCUCGCGCAUGGCUGGGGCCGCCUACCGCUCGCGGGCGGUCCUGUCAACCGCGAGCGACAAGG